CUUCCGGCUCUUCCUGCUCCUUUCCCAACUAGUCUUGAGUGUGGUAGCGUACACCUGCUCCCUUCUGGCUUUGGGGAAGGGGAUGAGACUGCGCUCCCGAACCGGAGGCAUACUGGGCCGCUGAGGCAUAGGAAUGGUCACAAGGUUUAAGCCCUGAAUUAAGUUUUCCCCCUUAGACGCCUCAAGCCCUCCAGCCCAAGAUGUAGCCCUCGAAUAGUCUAGCUGCGGGGUUCCGCGUUCAUGGUUUAAGGGAAAGUUAUCCAAACGGAAGUCCACCCCCGAAAACCAAUGAAGAAAGCCGAAUAGGAUUAUGAGAUGCGGGAGGGGGUGCCCCGCAGCUCUAAAAGCUCACCUCCUUACGACCCUGCCAAGAAUGUGGGUUGAGAAUUCAUCUAAGAACGCUGUGAAACAUGAGGCACACACAGGAGACCCCCUUUUCUAGCAGGCCAAUUCGGAUGACCCCCACCCCGCAUCAUUAUUGAGCACAGGUGUUGAACCCUUCACCUGUGUGUGUGUGCAGCGAAAGGGUCUUGACUUGAUGGGGCUGUCUGAGUGGUCCUCAACUGACAUGCAAUCCAUACUCUUUCAUUCAUAGAUACAGCUUUCCCUAUGGGAUUUUUGGAGGGGGAAAAUGACAUUAAAAAUUCUUCAGGGCAGGGGCAGUGAGAUGGCUCAGUGGAUGGAGAGAGCCAGACCUAGGGAGAGAGCGAAGAUCCUGGGUUCAAAUCUGGCCUCAGACUCUUUCUAGGGUGUGAUCUUGGGCAAGACACCACCCCAAGUGUGUAGGCUUUACCACUCUUUUGCCUUGGAACCAAUACACAGCAUCAAUUCUAAGACAGAAGGGGUUUCCCUGGACAGCAGAAGAAGGAAGGACAUAUUUGGAAAUGGAAUAAAAGCAAAAGGUCUCUACCCAUCCAUGCCUGUUUAUCAAGAGGGACUCAUCUAUGUCCUCUUGCAAUUCCACCCUAUUGGUUCCGUCCAAUGUGCUGUGAUGGGAAUAUGGGGGUGCUGGAAGGGAGGAAGGAGAGAAGGAAAGAGGAAAGGAGGAAAGCAGAGAGAUAUCUUGAAAAUUAGUUCUCUGAAAAUGGAAAACAGUAUGGCAGAAAUGAGACAGAGACUGUCACCUCAUGCCAUAUACCAAGGCACUGAAGUCCAAUGGCAAGAAAAGAGUCAGGAUAACUGGCGAUGCCCCUGGGUGUAG
rnacentral:lncRNA from 1 species